UACAGAGGUCUCAAGCGUUGUUCGGAUUCAUUGGGCGUAAAGGGUGCGUAGGUGGCGCCGUAAGUCGGGUGUGAAAUUUCGAGGCUUAACCUCGAAACUGCAUUCGAUACUGCGGUGCUUGAGGACUGGAGAGGAGACUGGAAUUCAUGGUGUAGCAGUGAAAUGCGUAGAGAUCAUGAGGAAGACCAGUGGCGAAGGCGGCCCCCUGGGCUGGUACUGACGCUGAUGCGCGAAAGCGUGGGUAGCAAACGGG
rnacentral:rRNA from 1 species